rnacentral:rRNA from 1 species
AUUUGAGAGGCAUCUCUUGAAUAUCAAAGGUGAGCCAGUACAGGAUGGACCCGCGUCUGAUUAGCUAGUUGGUAAGGUAACGGCUUACCAAGGCGACGAUCAGUAGCCGACCUGAGAGGGGGAUCGGCCACAUUGGAACUGAGACACGGUCCAAACUCCUACGGGAGGCAGCAGUGGGGAAUAUUGCACAAUGGGCGAAAGCCUGAUGCAGCAACGCCGCGUGAGUGAUGAAGGCCUUCGGGUCGUAAAACUCUGUCCUCAAGGAAGAUAAUGACGG